rnacentral:rRNA from 1 species
UGACCUCGGAUCAGGUAGGGAUACCCGCUGAACUUAAGCAUAUCAAUAAGCGGAGGAAAAGAAACCAACAGGGAUUGCCCCAGUAACGGCGAGUGAAGCGGCAAGAGCUCAAAUUUGAAAGCUGGCUCCUUCGGGGUCCGCAUUGUAAUUUGCAGAGGAUGCUUCGGGAGCGGUCCCCAUCUAAGUGCCCUGGAACGGGACGUCAUAGAGGGUGAGAAUCCCGUAUGGGAUGGGGUGUCCGCGCCCGUGUGAAGCUCCUUCGACGAGUCGAGUUGUUUGGGAAUGCAGCUCUAAAUGGGUGGUAAAUUUCAUCUAAAGCUAAAUAUUGGCCGGAGACCGAUAGCGCACAAGUAGAGUGAUCGAAAGAUGAAAAGCACUUUGAAAAGAGAGUUAAAAAGCACGUGAAAUUGUUGAAAGGGAAGCGCUUGCGACCAGACUCGCUCGCGGGGUUCAGCCGGCAUUCGUGCCGGUGUAUUUCCCCGCGGGCGGGCCAGCGUCGGUUUGGGCGGUCGGUCAAAGGCCCUCGGAAGGUAACGCCCCCAGGGGCGUCUUAUAGCCGAGGGUGCAAUGCGACCUGCCUAGACCGAGGAACGCGCUUCGGCUCGGACUGCUGGCAAAUG